CCGCCUCUCUACAAGUCGCCGCCGCGCUACCCCUCCCCCAGGCCACUGCCGUGCCGCCUCUCUACAAGUCGCUACCGCGCCACCCCUCCUGAGGCCCCCACCAACAAGUCCUCGCAUGCCUCCCACAGCUCCCCCUGCCAGCUCCGCCCGACCCAGUGCUGCUCGGCCGCUCUCCGCCAUCCGCGGCGAGCCCUGGCAACCGGAUCCGGAGACCCUUCCAGCGGGGCCGCCGGCCAUGCCGCGCCACCGCCAGAGCCCUAGCCCCGCCCGACGGCGUGGGUGGGUGCUGCACAGGGCGGUGGCCGCGAGGCAAGGCUGUCCACCAUCCUACCCUCUGCCUCAGACACGACGGUGGCCUCUCGCCGGUGCCUCGUCUCCUCCCAUGGCCAUCUGACAUUCUGCAGCGCUGCUCUGCAGUUUAGCUGCUGGUGGCAAGAGGUUUCAUUUGCCCCGGAACACGGUCCAGUAGCUCGUCUUGUGCAGUUCCGUGGAGAUGAACUCCACCACGACGGCGGCCGUGCCUCACCUCGCCAGCUCCAGGACGCUCUCUGCUCCAUCUUGUGUGCUUAACUGAUGAGUUCCUGCGGCCAGCAACAGCGUCACCGACACCAGCCGGAGGCCUUUCGUCACUGCCGUGGUCGCCGGCGAGCUCUCCGAGGCAUGGUCGUGCGCCUGCGGCCAAGCGCGAGACAUGGAGGCGGUAGUCUUGAUUCUGAAGGUGUUCAGAGGCUACCUAGCACGAGUUCCCUCUCCAUGCUUCUCCCAAACAAAGAUCAAACUGAAUUUUGCGAUAAACAUGCUGCUGCACAUACGUACAGAAAAAGGCUUUAGAAGCAUUCACUGUUUUUUGGUUUAACAUAUCAAAAGAGUUGGCAAUUCAGUAUUACUUGUUUGAGGUUCAUUAUUUAUUUUGCCUCACUGAGAUGUUCGCUUUUAUAGUUUUAUUAUUCGGUGCAGGUCACUAAAAGAAAAGUAUUAGUGGUGGUCGCGGCGGCUCCAUGGCCCCAUGCGAUUCAGUUGCCGCUGGAAUUUCCUGUAUAGUUUGCUUAUUUUUGCUUCACCGCCAGCAAACAGUUAAAAAGAUUAGUGCACUGCAUGCUGUUGUUGUUUGUUCUUUUAGUCCAAUUUCAUUAUUUUUGCAGAGUGAAAGACUACCAGCAAAAAGAAAGAGGAAACGAGUGCAGUGCACACCCGUUUUCUGGCAAAAAGGCAAUGCAGUGCGCUGCGGCAAGAAGCUUACUUUUUGCGUUUUCAGAAUUUGGACCUACAAUUUGAUUGCAUUUCAAUGCAGUGCGGUUCCAGUUUGGGUGCCUCCAGGCUCCAGCUCGUGAAAGAUGUCAAUUUUCCAACGAGCAUGUGGUGUGCGGGUGAGCGUGGCGUGCAGUUCAGUGGUGCGCGACUUGCGGCUCUUUUUUUUUUUCUUGUAGUGAGUUUCUGUAGUUUGGUCACCCUAUCCAGCGAACCUAGUGUAGCUCUCAUGCUCAUCCUCCUUGCGCUCGCUAGCGUCAGAAGUUCAGUGGCAGCGGAAGCCCACAAGACAUGGUGACCAUAGUGCAGUACACCGUCGCCCACAAAAAGACAUGGUGACCAUACUGUUGGACACCAUCAUCGACAUUUGCCGUUUUGCAGCUCGCUCAUUUAUAGUUUGUUUCUAGGAAUCAAUUGCAGUGCACUCAGUAAAGAAAAGAAACAGAACGUCGUUGUUCAUUUGAAGUUCAUUUUGUUGUUUAUGAGAAACUCGGAGAGAAAAAGGGUACUGCCUAGUGCAUUUGAAGUUCAUUUUGUAGUAAGAAAAAUGGAUGGUAAUUUGCAUAAGCAAGUCUUUGCCUA